UGAGUACAUUAGCUGUGGACCUCGGGA
rnacentral:sRNA from 1 species